rnacentral:rRNA from 1 species
GACGAACGCUGGCGGCGUGCUUAACACAUGCAAGUCGUACGGUAAGGCCCUUUCGGGGGUCCACGAGUGGCGAACGGGUGAGUAACACGUGAGUAACCUGCCCACAACUUUGGGAUAACGCUAGGAAACUGGUGCUAAUACUGGAUAUGUGCUCCUGCUGCAUGGUGGGGGUUGGAAAGCUCCGGCGGUUGUGGAUGGACUCGCGGCCUAUCAGCUUGUUGGUGGGGUAGUGGCCUACCAAGGCGGCGGCGGGUAGCCGGCCUGAGAGGGUGACCGGCCACAUUGGGACUGAGGUACGGCCCAGACUCCGACGGGAGGCAGAAGUGGGGAAGAUUGAACAAUGGGCGCAAGCCUGAUGCAGCAACGCCGCGUGCGGGAUGACGGCCUUAGGGUUGAAAACCGCUUUCAGAAGGGACGAAGCUUUUUGUGACGGUACCUGCAGAAGAAGCACCGGCUAACUACGUG